UUAAGCUAAGGGUCCCAGCUCCAUGGCAGGGAGCCUGGAAGCCCUGAGAUCCCUGCUCUAGCCAGGGCUCUUAGAUGAUACCCCUCUCCAUACCAUACCUGAUAGCCUGGCAAUCCUAUAGGCUUGUUUCCCCUUUAGGACACUGAGGGUUAAACAACUGGCUUGCUUUCUGAGUGGGCCUCAAUCAGGGCAGGUGAGCCUCAUCUCCUAAUCAGAGUCAUCCCAGCACUGCAGCCACCUGCUCCCCUUGCCCUGGCAGGCUGUGCUGGGAGAUCAGAGCAGGGGGAAAGCACAAUGUGCUUGGAAAGGAGUUUGAUGCUGGGGGAAGGACUGAAAACUGGCUGCUUGGGAGAUGGUUCCGUGCCUUUGGGAAGGUAGAACUUCACGUCUAGGCACCUUGUUUGGAGUUGAACCUGAACAGUGAUCACAUCUUUUGAGGCUGUCAAAGCAGUUUAGACCUUAAACCUCACAACGCUCGCUCGUUAAAGUGAUGCCAGGGAACUGCUUAUCCCGAUUUGACUGCGGGAGACUGGGCUGACCGCAUACAUUCCAAGUGUUCACUAAUUCGAGGUGCUACUAUGUUGGAGUGCCCAAGGUAAGCCAGCCAAGUGCUCUGAGGCAGGGACUCUCUUUUUGUUCUGUGUCUAUACAGCACCAUGGGGCCCUGCUCCAUGACUGGGGCUCCUUGCGCUACUGCAGUACCAAUAAUUAAUAGUUCGUGACUGGUUUUCAGACACGCUCUGGGUUCUCCGUAUAGAUGACUUUUAUUCCCAACAGCAAGGCCCCUGCACAGGUGUCUCAUCCAGUGGCAUUAGCACCACUGUAGCAAAAUGUCCCGCUGCACUCAAGCAGUUUCCUGUGCCUUCUGUUUGACAAAGGGGAGUGGCCACUGCAAAGUAAAUUUCCAACCAAGCUUAGGUUUUGGGAGUGCAGGUCUUGGUUUACCUGUCAAACUGGUAAAAUGGAAAUGCAUGCCAGCCACCACUGUAGCCUUGAUGAGCUAAUGAGUGUCAACCUAAUGGUGAUGUGUUGGCUUUUUAUAACAAUCGAAAAACUACUCUGAAAAAGACAAGGGUUGGAGUUUCAUAAGUUGGAUCAUAUGCUCCAAGGGGAACUGCUAUUGUGUAUUUAAACAAGCCAAGUCUGUUUUGAUCUCCUCAUAAAUGAACCCAUAUGGCUUUGUUUACUGGUAGCAGCAGCAGGAUUAGUAAGCACAAACUCUGGAUUAAAAAUACUGGAUUGUUUUAGCAAAUUACCUUACCAGAUAGAAAUAUCUGUAAGAAAAUAAUUCAGUAAAGCAAUAUAUGUAGCAGAUGACGACACUUCUAUCUCACUAUAUAUUUGUUUCCUUACCACACUGGUGAUCUGUCAGGUUUCUUUUAUGUAAUAAAUAAACACACCCAGACUUGUUCACGCAAUUACAAAAGAAAAGGGAGAGAGAAAUGAUUGAAUUGCUCUGAAGAUUUGCUGCAGGGAAGAGCUAUUAAACAUUAAGUUGAGACUUUCAAAGCAAAGCACUCCAGGGGUUAAUUUCAAAGAAAGGUGUGUGUAAUUCCCACAGGCUUUUGAAAACCUCCACCACAUCUUCUAAUUUUGGGCCUAAUUCUGCAAUCUUUACCUCCUGACUCAUCCGAGCAGCCUAAACGAAGGGAAGGGCAGCAGAAUGGGUUUCUCCUAUUUGCAGUUUAUUUUGGGUACAACCAUAUCCUUCACUAGCAGCAAUCAGAUCCGAGGGAGUGGUGUUUUGAAUACGAAUGUUGCACUUCGUGGAAUCUUACGUUGCCACGGUGCUGACAAUGUAUGGGUUCUCUCCUU